UCCCUGGUGGUCCAGUGGCUAAGACUCUGUGCUGCCAAUGCAGGGGGCCCGGGGUUCAAUCCCUGGUCAGGGAA